rnacentral:rRNA from 1 species
GAUGAACGCUGGCGGCGUGCCUAACACAUGCAAGUCGAACGGAGUUAUAACGCCGAGGAGACUUCGGUCAAAUCAUGUUGUAACUUAGUGGCGGACGGGUGAGUAACGCGUGGAUAACCUGCCGUAUACAGGGGGAUAACAGUUAGAAAUGACUGCUAAUACCGCAUAAGCGCACAGAAACGCAUGUUUCAGUGUGAAAAGCCGAGACGGUAUACGAUGGAUCCGCGUCUGAUUAGCCAGUUGGCGGGGUAACGGCCCACCAAAGCGACGAUCAGUAGCCGGCCUGAGAGGGUGAACGGCCACAUUGGGACUGAGACACGGCCCAAACUCC